AUGUCAGGCCUUCCUGCUGCCGCCGCCGCCGCAUCCUGGCGCUCGACCCAUCGACCUUGGCUACUCACCGACUCAAAGUGCCACAUCGGCGACCACGACAAUGUGACCACCGCCCGCGCUGUUACAAGCCAAAAGAGCGACAUCAAGGUGACUUUCGAGCUCGCCGACCCGCCCGGCGUCUCUCACUGCUUCGUCCACUGCCCCGGCCUGGUGGAGAGCCACUGCGCCGGAGAUCCCAUGGUUCUAAGCUCGGCGGAUGUGUUUGUCCUUCUCGUCAUUCCAUUCACCGACAGCUCCACGCGCAAGGAGUACAACGAUUUCUUCGUCUACAGGGCAGGUCCAGGGGCUCCUACUCUCCGGCUUGUCCGCGCCCCCGGCCACAACCGUUAUCCCGACUAUGUCACGCUGGCCGGUGUUGUGCCCCUCGGCUGCGGCGAUCCUUACAACAUAGGCCACGCCGUGGUCUUCCCACAAUACACCAAUGUCCCGUACUACACCGACUCUACCAGCAAGAAGUACAAGUACAUCCUCAACGUGUAUCGCUCCGAUAUCUCUGGGUGGCCAUGGCACACCGAGGUGGCCAGCAUCGCCAUUGACACCAAGCACCACAAUCACGAGGUAAUAAUGCGGGACGAAGGCACCCGCGUGAUCUUCGCCGGUAGGGAAACACUCGGCUGGGUCAAUCAUUGGCAUGGCAUUCUUCUAUGCAACGUGCUCGACCACUAUCCGGUCAUGCGUUUCAUCCAAUGGCCCGUUCCGAUCUCUUGCGAUCUCAUGUCGCGGUUCGGAAUGGGAGUUGACAAUAUCUACGCACGGCCGUUCCGCGAUGUCGUUAUAAGUAAUGGCGUGAUCAGGUUCGUCGAAUUGAAAUCUUGUCGAUGUAGCCAUACCCACAAUGAGAAAGGGGUCAUUGGCCAAGGUUGGACGGUCACCACAUGGAACAGGGGGAUUUGCUCAAAGAAGUGGCACAAGAGCUUCACUCUCAAGGCCGACAACGUGCCUCUCACAGGUUUAAGUUACCCUAAGGUAUCGGGUGACAAGAGGUUGAGUUGGGACAAUGUGGUUCACGGUGGGCCCACUCUGAGCUUGUGUGACGACGAUAUUGUCUACAUCAUGGCUAGACUAGACAUCCGUCACCGGGUUGCAUGGAUGCUUGCCAUUAAUAUCAGAGAGGGAACACUAGAAGCGGUCGAGCAGUGUUCUGCUGAAAAGAUGAUGGGUCUUGAACCAACUUAUGUUCAGUGUGCCUUGUCCGACUACCUCAAGUAG
rnacentral:rRNA from 1 species